rnacentral:rRNA from 1 species
GAUGAACGCUAGCGGCAGGCCUAACACAUGCAAGUCGAGGGAGAGGUUACCUUCGGGUAACCAAAACCGGCGCACGGGUGCGUAACGCGUAUACAAUCUACCUUUCACAUAGGGAUAGCCCGAAGAAAUUUGGAUUAAUACCUAAUGGUAUAUAGGAGCGGCAUCGUUCUUAUAUUAAAGCUACGGUGGUGAAAGAUGAGUAUGCGUUCUAUUAGCUAGUUGGAGAGGUAACGGCUCCCCAAGGCGACGAUAGAUAGGGGUUCUGAGAGGGAUGUCCCCCACACUGGUACUGAGAUACGGACCAGACUCCUACGGGAGGCAGCAGUGAGGAAUAUUGGACAAUGGUCGGAAGACUGAUCCAGCCAUGCCGCGUGCAGGAUGAAGGUCCUAUGGAUUGUAAACUGCUUUUGUAAGGGAAGAAUAAGGAGUACGUGUACUUUGAUGACGGUACCUUACGAAUAAGC